rnacentral:rRNA from 1 species
GACGAACGCUGGCGGCGUGCCUAAUACAUGCAAGUAGAACGCUGAAGGAGGAGCUUGCUUCUCUGGAUGAGUUGCGAACGGGUGAGUAACGCGUAGGUAACCUGCCUGGUAGCGGGGGAUAACUAUUGGAAACGAUAGCUAAUACCGCAUAAGAGUAGAUGUUGCAUGACAUUUGCUUAAAAGGUGCAAUUGCAUCACUACCAGAUGGACCUGCGUUGUAUUAGCUAGUUGGUGGGGUAACGGCUCACCAAGGCGACGAUACAUAGCCGACCUGAGAGGGUGAUCGGCCACACUGGGACUGAGACACGGCCCAGACUCCUACGGGAGGCAGCAGGAGGGAAUCUUCGGCAAGGGACGGAAGUCUGACCGAGCAACGCCGCGUGAGUGAAGAAGGUUUUCGGAUCGUAAAGCUCGGUUGUAAGAGAAGAACGAGUGUGAGAGUGGAAAGUUCACACUGUGACGGUAUCUUACCAGAAAGGGACGGCUAACUACGUG